CAACUUCUCUGCCUCGCCAUCGGGGAUCUCAAAACCUGAACACGUGAGAAAACACUGUAUCAGCUUGUGAUCCUCUAUCAAACUGGAUUACCUGUGCAAAUGUCCAGGUGUGUAAAAGACUCCACGUUUGAACUCCCUUCAUCUGAGCCCAAAGACAAACGCUCCAUUCUCCUGCCACACAAAUGCACCAGUCCUCCGACAGCCAUCGCACCAAACACAAGUCCAACACGCAUCCGCCCUCCAGUGCCUGAACACAAAGACAAGGCAUUAGACAAUCGAGACUGCAGAACAGCCAGCUCCGUCAGAGAAUGAUGUGGCAGUUGGGGUUUCCUCACGCAAUGCCCGAUUGUUGGAUUCUUCAGUGUUACGU